UGGGGAUUAUUGCACAAUGGGCGCAAGCCUGAUGCAGCCAUGCCGCGGGUUUGAAGACGGCCUUCGGGUUGUAAAGCACUUUCAGCGGGGAGGAAGGCGUUAAGGUUAAUAACCUUGGCGAUUGACGUUACCCGCAGAAGAAGCACCGGCUAACUCCGUGCCAGCAGCCGCGGUAAUACGGAGGGUGCAAGCGUUAAUCGGAAUUACUGGGCGUAAAGCGCACGCAGGCGGUCUGUCAAGUCGGAGGUGAAAUCCCCGGGCUCAACCUGGGAAGUGCAGUCGAAAAUGGCAGGCGAGAGUCUUGGAGAGGGGGGUAGGAUUCCAGGUGGAGCGGUGAAAUGAGUAGGGAACUGGAGGAAUAACGGUGGCGGAGGCGGCCCCCUGGACAAAGACUGAAGCCGCGGUGCGAAAGAGGGGGGAGGAAAAAGG
rnacentral:rRNA from 1 species